AGCAGCGUCCGCUUCCUGGAGCUCAGACUUCAUAACAAAGGUUCCAGCUCUCUUGGAGGAUGCAAUGAGAUCCCUAAAUAAAUUCCAUUGGAAGAUCCAAGGAUUUAAGAUUCUGAAAACAUUCUCUCAUAUACUCAACCAAUUGGAUAAGAACGCAGCCAACUGAAUAAAGAAGAAACAGACCUGUAGACACAGACGCCCACAGACUGUCUGCCCGGACCGUAAAGGGGGAGUCUUCCAAGAUUGCCCUGAUCCCCCUCGACUCUAACCAGCCUGCCGGCUCCGCGGGGAGCACAGGGCCCUUUGAA
rnacentral:lncRNA from 12 species